CCUGUAUGGUUAAUUACCAAUAAAACCAGGGGAUUUUAUUGGUAAACUUUUUAUAAUUUUACAUACAUGUAGUAUUGCGUGUUAGUUACAAUUAACAGAGUAAUAGCUGUCUACAACAUGUACUUUACUUCACAAUGAAAAGAAAAACGGAACUUUGACCGUCUUUUGUUUAGCUUUUAGUUUUGGAUUAAUCGAAAGUGAAAGAGCAUGGUUUCGAUCGGAUUAAGAGAUCUUAGAAAGAGAGUUGUAUCAUCUGCUAGCUGUGAGAUUUUUAGGCUAUAUGGAAUUAAUCGUGUCACAGAAUGUUGUUAGCCAAUUUAUGACUUUACUAGAAGUGCUU